CAUGGAGGGUGAGAAUCCCGUUCGGUUAACCAAAGCGCUUUACGAUACGCUUUCAAAGAGUCAAGUUGUUUGGGAUUGCAGCUUAAAAUGGGAGGUAAAUUUCUCCUAAGGCUAAAUAUUGGCGAGAGACCGAUAGCGAACAAGUACCGUGAGGGAAAGAUGAAAAGAACUUUGAAAAGAGAGUUAAACAGUACGUGAAAUUGUUGAAAGGGAAACGAUUAAAGUCAGUCGUACCUACGAGUAAUCAACCUACUCGAGUGCGAUUUUGUGGGUAUGUUAGAGUUUAAACCUUCAUGCUUACAAAUUGGUGCUCUUUGGGCGUACUUUCUCGUAUGGUAGGUUAACAUCAAUUUCGAUCGUUAUAAAAUGACUGGAGGAAUGUAGCUUCGAUCUCGGUUGAAGUGUUAUAGCCUUUGGUAGAUGUAAUGAUUGGGAUUGAGGAUUGCAACGGAUACCCUCUGGGCUAUUCGUCUGAUCUCUGGAAGUUACCUUGGUGUCGAAAGCGUGCUUACGAUAUUAAGGUUGACGGCCAAUAGGUUAGAACGUGAUUAAAUUCGUUAAGGAUGUUGACGUAAUGG
rnacentral:rRNA from 1 species